GCCAGGUCAGUAGAGGAGCACUCCUGCAAGCCGCGAGGUUUUUCUCUGGGUAAGGAAAGGAGAAGGGGGUCUUUAGAGAGGGCAGAUUAAGGAAACCUCGGCCACAAGCUACGAGGAGCCCUUGCGCCCACCUCUGAGCCCCCUCUGCCUUUCUAAAGCGUGGCCCUAAGACCAUCUCCUCCGCUAUCCUCCUCACUCUCCAACUGCACUCCUGCUCGUAACUGGGACCUCGCCAAUGUGUCCCCCAGGACCCCCGCUUUCCCACGCUGCACCCUAAUUUUAGGUAGGGCUCUGUGUGCUCUUCGCCCUCCCGUGGUGCCACACCAGGGCUGGUCCACCUUCGUCGCCUGACCUUCGCCUUUGACCUCUUCUUCGCAAUAACAUAGGAAUAAAGUCCGACGUCCUCUAAACAAAGCCCUUAUCACCUGAUUUGAAGUGGUGUGACCUUUCGCGCAGCCCUGGGGUGCCCGAGCUGUGACCAGACCCCGCUCGGCUCCUGGGGUGCCCCGUCCUCGCGCUGGUGGUCACGCUGCCAUUGGUGUGCAGCACCCACCACGCAGGGAUGCUUCCUACUUAUUUAGGCACCUGCUGCUUUCAAGGUUUACAGCCGUGCAUAUGGUUAGGAGGGCUGGAAUUGGCAGCCGAUCGCCUGACAGAAUAAUGGCUAACUGGAAAAAUAGCUGGGUAUGUAAUUCACAGAUGAUACGACCACAUCAAAAUCAGUGGAACACAAACUAUUCAUUUUUACAGUCUCCAGAUUGCUGUCUGUUGUGACCUGUUCCUCCUGAUUGCUCCUCUGUCGCGCUGCCGAUCACCUCUCCUCCCACCGGCACCCGUGGUGGGGAGGACAACGACGAGCCUCAGCGCCGCGGGGCAGGACACGAUGGACAUCUCAAUUUCUGGAGAAUUGUGUGGUUUAGAUAUGGACAGGAGCCAAAGCAUCGGUACCACCAGGUCCGUGUCUAUGCAGAAAGUGGGUCUGCACAUCAGCGGCGUGGAGGGUGCCCUGAGGUUUGUAACCCAUAUCUUGUUCCUCUCCCAACCACCACCAGGGCUUCCAGCCCUGUGGGAUCUCCUGGGGCUCUGACAGCCCAGCAGGUCUUGGACCUCCAGCUCUCAAAGCUGUCCUUGCUCUGAAAGGAGCCAAACAGCCCUCGGUUGGUACGUUUCCAAACUUUGAAAUUGUCGGGGUUUGAACCCAAACUGGCUACGGUGAAGCAAUCGCAAAACCAGCAAUAAAACUGGUGAAGAAACAGAGUUUGGUUACACCAACAGUAUUUAACCUUCUGCAGAUAUCUCUGUCUUUCCUGUUGGAAAAUUGUCUGAAAAAAGUUGCCCUUCAAAAAAUGAGUGCUUUUCUGAAUGUACUGUUAUUUUAAAUCUGGGCAGAACUUCUUCUUCAUGCUGUUUUUCUCCCUCAGUGUUUCUCGGUGGGGGAAAUGACAGUAAAAAGGGUGAGAGAGUGGGAACCAUGAAAUGCAGACGUGGAAUCUGGAAAAAAGGUCUUUUUCUAAGAACUGGAAAUAUUUCAUCUCCAAAUAAAUGGCUUUCUAUACAAAUAU